GAUGAACGCUAGCGGCAGGCCUAACACAUGCAAGUCGAGGGGCAGCACAGAAACAGCAAUGUUUUGGUGGCGACCGGCGGACGGGUGCGUAACGCGUAUGCAACCUACCUUUAACAGGGGGAUAACGGAGAGAAAUUUCCACUAAUACCCCAUAACAUCGAUCAAGGCAUCUUGAUUGGUUGAAAACUCCGGUGGUUAAAGAUGGGCAUGCGUCGUAUUAGGUAGUUGGUGAGGUAAUGGCUCACCAAGCCUACGAUACAUAGGGGGACUGAGAGGUGAGCCCCCCACACUGGUACUGAGACACGGACCAGACUCCUACGGGAGGCAGCAGUGAGGAAUAUUGGUCAAUGGGGGCAACCCUGAACCAGCCAUGCCGCGUGCAGGAAGACGGCUCUAUGAGUUGUAAACUGCUUUUAAACAGGGAUAAAGCACAGUAUGUAUACUGUGUUGAAGGUACUGUAAGAAUAAGGAUCGGCUAACUCCGUGCCAGCCGCCGCGGUAA
rnacentral:rRNA from 1 species